rnacentral:rRNA from 1 species
UACGGAGGGGGCUAGCGUUGUUCGGAUUUACUGGGCGUAAAGCGCGCGUAGGCGGGCUGUUAAGUCGGGGGUGAAAUCCUGGGGCUCAACCUCAGAAUUGCCUUCGAUACUGAUAGUCUUGAGUACGGGAGAGGUGAGUGGAAUUCCCAGUGUAGAGGUGAAAUUCGUAGAUAUUGGGAAGAACACCAGUGGCGAAGGCGGCUCACUGGCCCGUAACUGACGCUGAGGUGCGAAAGCGUGGGGAGCAAACAGG